rnacentral:tRNA from 1 species
GAGGGUAUAGCUCAGUGGUAGAGUGUAUGCUUAGCAUGCAUGAGGUCCUGGGUUCAAUCCCCAGUACCUCA